rnacentral:rRNA from 1 species
UGGGGAAUUUUGGACAAUGGGGGCAACCCUGAUCCAGCCAUGCCGCGUGAGUGAAGAAGGCCUUCGGGUUGUAAAGCUCUUUCGGACGGAACGAAAUGGUCAGGGUGAAUAUCCCUGACUGAUGACGGUACUGUAAGAAGAAGCACCGGCUAACUCCGUGCCAGCAGCCGCGGUAAUACGGAGGGUGCUAGCGUUGUCCGGAUUUAUUGGGCGUAAAGCGUUUGUAGGCGGUUAUGUAAGUCUGAAGUGAAAUAAUGGAGCUCAACUCCAUCCUCGCUUUGGAAACUGCAUGACUAGAGAGUGAUAGGGGUAAGUGGAAUUUCCAGUGUAGCGGUGAAAUGCGUAGAUAUUGGAAAGACACCAGAGGCGAAGGCGGCUUACUGGGUCACAUCUGACGCUGAGAAACGAAAGCUAGGGGAGCGAAAGGGAUUAGAUACCCCAGUAGUCCCUGAGCGGGCUGGCAAGGCGCAU